rnacentral:rRNA from 1 species
UACAGAGGUCUCAAGCGUUGUUCGGAUUCAUUGGGCGUAAAGGGUGCGUAGGUGGCAUGGUAAGUCGGAUGUGAAAUCCAGGGGCUCAACCCCGGAACUGCAUUCGAUACUGCUGCGCUAGAGUACUGGAGAGGAGAUUGGAAUUUACGGUGUAGCAGUGAAAUGCGUAGAUAUCGUAAGGAAGACCAGUGGCGAAGGCGGGUUGCUGGGCUGACACUGACGCUGACAGCGCGAAAGCUAGGGGAGCGAACGGG